CCUACGGGAGGCAGCAGUGGGGAAUAUUGCACAAUGGGGGAAACCCUGAUGCAGCGACGCCGCGUGAGUGAAGAAGUAAUUCGGUAUGUAAAGCUCUAUCAGCAGGGAAGAAAAUGACGGUACCUGAGUAAGAAGCCCCGGCUAACUACGUGCCAGCAGCCGCGGUAAUACGUAGGGGGCAAGCGUUAUCCGGAUUUACUGGGUGUAAAGGGAGCGUAGACGGCAGUGCAAGUCUGGAGUGAAAGGCGGGGGCUCAACCCCCGGACUGCUCUGGAAACUGUACGGCUGGAGUGCAGGAGAGGUAAGUGGAAUUCCUGGUGUAGCGGUGAAAUGCGUAGAUAUUAGGAGGAAUACCAGUGGCGAAGGCGGCUUACUGGACUGUAACUGACGUUGAGGCUCGAAAGCGUGGGGAGCAAACAGGAUUAGAUACCCGUGUAGUC
rnacentral:rRNA from 1 species